GUUUUCCUAUUUCUGCAGUAAACUGAAUAACCUUAAUAUUAGAUUUGACAAAUAACGUAUAUUUACGUUCUUUGGAACGAACGAGUAGACCAACGAACGAAUAGCAGCACAAAAGCGACGUACAAAAAAUAGAAAAUGGCGAACUUUGAUUUUCAUUUUCCGAAUUUCACGUUAAGUUUCUGUUAAAAUCGAAGCGGAAAUACUGCCAAAUUGAAGAUAAAAACGGCAAAGAAUCCUCCAGCUACCAAGGAAGCAACAUGCGUAUGUGAAAUUAAAAGCGAGAAGUGUUUUUCAAGUUUAAAAAAGAAAGUGAUGUCUGGCCAAUGAGUGUUGCCGAAGGCAGGCAGCAAAGGAAAGCAACACCAUUUUGACAAGGCAGGCAAUCAGCAAGUCGGAUAUACUUAUUUCCCUUCCGUGGACUUAUUUUAUGUUUGCUGCUACAAUUGCAGAAACUUAAUAACAAUGCAAAAUGUCUAUGUUUCACUUAAGAGAUCUUUCAUAAAAGCUAAAUGAUAGGUCGUGUAGUGUUCGACAAGUGAAUAAAUUUCGGUGGGAAAUCAGUACGUGCGUCAUUUAUAGUGAGAACAAGACAAACUAACAACAAAUUGCAAGUAAAGCUGCCAAAAAACUUGACAAUCUAAGUCCUUCGGGUGCCUAAAUGCUAAAUUAUGUGUAAUAACUUUGUGACUAAUAGUAGCUAAAUGUUUUCAAAUAAUUUCCACACAAUCAAUAGUAAUAAUUCAUCAAAGCAAUUUCAUUGGAAGUGGACCAGUAAAGAGGCAAGUGGAGCUAACGGGCUAAAUACCAAUAAAAAUACCCCACUUCCUUGAAAGAGUAAUAAAGACUACAACAGCACAGAUAAAGUUAUUCCCUUAAUUUACGGCUCCAGUGACGUAUGUUCGUAUAGAAAGUACGGAUGUUAAAAUUAACGUUGAAGCCGAAGCAUUGCAAUAUAAAUAAAAGCAACCAACAAAGUUACAACAAAAUUACCAUAUAACUUAAAGCAAUAAAAACAACAAACAAACUUCAAAAACCCAACAACAAGAAGCAACCAAUACAAUUACGUAAGUAAAAUUCUCAAACUUAAAACACCAAAAACAAAAAGGAAAAAACUAAGUUUAAAUGUAAAUAUAAUUAAAAUAGGACAAAGAAAGCAUAAAAGAAUAAAUAAACAAUACAACUCGGCGCUAAACACAGACGGUACUCGUGAAGCCCCUUCGUGUGUCCUCUAGGACUUUUCCCGUUCCGCAUAUUCUCGUUCUCGUUCGCGCGCGCGGUGUAAUUAAAAUGUUCGUGGCUGUGUUAGCGUAGGCGAGACAAAAACAACAAGCUAUAAAUUAAAAACAAAAGAAUCAAUUAUCAAAAAUAAAAGUAAUUACUUACAUAUAUAAAUAAUAUUAUAAAUUAUUAUAAACGAAUAGAGCGGAGGCAGGAAAAUGUGAUAAUCUAAUCAAUUUGUAAAUGAAUUAAGUAAUUAAUUAACUAAAUCGUAAUUGUAUUAUAGAUACAAGAACUAUAACAGCAAACACUAAAUUAAUUGCAUAAUCUCUUUAAUAUUAAUCAAGUACAUACAUACAUAUGUUACUUUAUAUACACAUUAUUAUAUACGCGAAACCUAAUAAUACCACUUAGUAAGUAAAGUAAAUUCAUUCAAUAUAUUUAACACUGUGAGAAUGCUUAUGGAAUUUGACCAAAUGAAUUCCCACUUAUGAAUUGAAAGUUAUAUUGAAGAAAACAGAAGGACCUUUGCGAAAAAUUCUAAACGAAUACAAAGAGUUUAUCUCCGUGGAAACACCAAUCGUUAUAACAAUUACCACAAAACGUCGAUUAUUCUCCAAUGAACACAGAAACACAACGUACACAGUGGGGCGUGCGGCAGCUAACAAACUUUUUCAAAUCAUUGCUUACAGCUAUGUAGCGCUAUGUGCAGCUAUUGGAACGAAAAGAAAAUCAACUAAAAAGUACUCCAGAUCUGCGGGCAUAUUUUCAAUAUGUAAUUUUGUUUUAAUUUUCCUUCGGAAUCUUUUUAACAAACACCAAACACAUUUUGUGUGCAUACGAACUCAUUAGAAACUAGUUUGAAAACAAGGAAUCACAAAAUCAAAAAGUGUGAAAGAGUGUACUGCGAGAAAUCCAGUUGACCAACAUUAUCAGCGCCACUUCCUGUGCAGCAACACCAGCCAACAGCAGCUGCAAGCCAGUAUAUUCAGCGAAAAUCCAAAGGAAAUUCAGCAAGCAACAAUGUCUUAAUUUGGCAUGCGCGAAUUUAGUAAAAAGUUUACUAAACCCAAUGAGAUGGACAUGAAAAAAAUACCAAAAGCACGGUGAGUGAUCCCUUAUGCG